rnacentral:tRNA from 2 species
GGAAGGUUGUCAGAGAGGCCGAUUGUACCUGACUUGAAAUCAGGAGGUGCAGAGAUGCGCCCGAAGGUUCGAAUCCUUCACCUUCCACCA